UUAUAGGUACCCUGAAGGUAAAAAUUGUGAAAAAUCACGUAAUGGACAAUGGCAGAGCAAGUCUUAUCACAGUUAACGAACACUAUGAGUACCUAAUGAGUUUUUGCAGUAAAUAAUUUUGCCAAAGUUGUGAUCCCGCGAAAGUUCUGUUUGUAAAUUGUAAGGAAUCGUCAAAAUAUUGGUGCAGACAUGGUUUGUGACCGGUGCUUUUCUCUUGAAAAAACACAACUGAAAGCCUUGAUCUUCAUCCCUACAAUAGAUAUCUGAAACAUGCCAGAUCUGCAUAACAGGAAUGUCAAAGAGGUUCUACCCAAAACACGCCCACAUGGCCAUCCUAAUAUCAAGAUUUUUCAAAAUUUCUAUAACAAAAAAGAUGAAAAAACCAAUAAAAUUUCAGGAGCAUAGUGUUAAGAGUUCUGUAGAUGAUUAUGAGAUCUCUUGAAACAACAGAAUGUUUAAUAAAGAUUUUUAACUUUCCUAAUAGUAAAAUUACAAUUAUUACUAAACAGUAAGUUGAAGUAAGUUUUAAAUUAAGAGAAUGCAACUAACACCGAAAGAAAAAUGAAAGUUACUGAAAAUAAAAAACUUUAUUGCAGUACCUACAUACACUUUCUACAUCUAAUUUUGUUUAUUGAUCACAUUCAUUUACUUGAAAAAGUAUCAGGCCUAUGAAUCGUCGUCUGGAAACAGCUAACCACACACCAACCUUCAUUGCGUGUGAUGGUGUUUCUUCAAAAGCGUGAGUAUUUUCUAUACACCAAAUUCUGAAGUUCUGUCAGUUGACAUAAUAGCCUAACAGAUGAAACCAGGCUUCAUCAGAAAAGAACGACAAAUCGAGAAUCCCGUUAUCGUCCAUAUCAGCUUGAAACCAACUACAAUACCCAACGCGGCAAGGAAAAUCAGCUGGUUGCAGCUCCUGAACCAACAAAAUCUUGUAUGGAUGCAUAUGUAACUUCUCUUUUACGAUUUUCUGACAUGGGCUGUAUGGUACUCCGGACAGUAAAGAUUUUUGACAAA